GAUGAACGCUGGCGACGUGCCUAAUACAUGCCAGUCGAGCGAACAGACGAGGAGCUUGCUCCUCUGACGUUAGCGGCGGACGGGUGAGUAACACGUGGAUAACCUACCUAUAAGACUGGGAUAACUUCGGGAAACCGGAGCUAAUACCGGAUAAUAUAUUGAACCGCAUGGUUCAAUAGUGAAAGACGGUUUUGCUGUCACUUAUAGAUGGAUCCGCGCCGCAUUAGCUAGUUGGUAAGGUAACGGCUUACCAAGGCAACGAUGCGUAGCCGACCUGAGAGGGUGAUCGGCCACACUGGAACUGAGACACGGUCCAGACUCCUACGGGAGGCAGCAGUAGGGAAUCUUCCGCAAUGGGCGAAAGCUUGACGGAGCAACGCCGCGUGAGUGAUGAAGGUCUUCGGAUCGUAAAACUCUGUUAUUAGGGAAGAACAAAUGUGUAAGUAACUAUGCACGUCUUGACGGUACCUAAUCAGAAAGCCACGGCUAACUACGUG
rnacentral:rRNA from 1 species